rnacentral:miRNA from 1 species
UGAGUGCCUGCUAUGUGCCAGGCAUUGUGCU